rnacentral:rRNA from 1 species
AUUCCAGCUCCAAUAGCGUAUAUUAAAGUUGUUGCAGUUAAAAAGCUCGUAGUUGGACUUGUGCGGUACCCUGGAUGUCCAUUCGUGGUACGUUCUGGGGGUCCGCGUCCUUGGGUGGAACCUGUGUGGCAUUAGGUUGUCGUGCAGGGGAUGCUCAUCGUUUACUGUGAAAAAAUUAGAGUGUUCAAAGCAGGCGUCGGCUUGAAUACAUUAGCAUGGAAUAAUGGAAUAGGGCUUUGGUUCUAUUUUGUUGGUUUCUAGGACCGAAGUAAUGAUUAAUAGGGACAGUUGGGGGCAUUAGUAUUUAAUUGUCAGUGGUGAAAUUCUUGGAUUUAUGAAAGACUAACUACUGCGAAAGCAUUUGCCAAGGAUGUUUUCAUUA